AAAUCCCAAAGCCUUCUAGAGCAGUGUAAUCAAUAAUGAAAACUGCACAAGCCUUUAAAGGAUGUUCAAGAAAAUGCUUAUCUAGGAACUGUACAACCAUUCAACUGCCCUACACCUUUAAUGCUUAUGUAUUCCAGGUAUGUGGUGAAAUGUACUUACCAACUCGUGUUACAUGUAGAGGAAUGAUGUCAAUCUGAUCCCAACACUGAGCUAUACAGCUUGAUGAUAAACAGGAAAAGCCAGGUUUAACACUCAGUCCACCUCCCUGAGCUCAGAUGUCAGCAUGGGUGUCGCAAGAGAGGAAAACGAUGAUCAGCACAUCCCUUCUGCGGUCGAGUGGUUUUCCUGCUCCGACGUCCGACCAGAUGAGUGGAGCGUUUCAGAGCAGGAGAAACAUGGAUCGGCAGUGCUGGUGGAUGGAAGACUUGAGUUUGAGCAGCCUGCUUUGUCUGCCUGGGUGCGCCUUACCAAGCAGCAUAAUUGUUGCUGUUCUAUUCCACAUAAAGAUGAGCAGGAAGACGUAGAAAGGCUUGAACCUAGGGCAACCCUCAAUAUCAUCUGAUGAACUACCGACAUUCAAGAAGGUACAUCAACGUGUCUGCCAUACAGGUGGGCGUUGUCUCAGACUGCUGAUCUUAGCUGGGGGACUGAUGUUUCCGGUCACUGGGCUUGUGUGGAUUAAUCGAACAGAUGCUGCACGCCACCAUCAGCCAAACUGGCUGUGACGGACUGCUGUUUCCAGGAUGAGGACGUUCUGUCCUGUGCCACCAUCUCUUAAGGAACCACCCUGGGCCAUGAGGAAUGCCACAGGUGUUUCCAUGUACACGGUUUCUCCUGGCUCUCUUGUUAUUGUUGAUAUGCUCCAGUAAAUCCUCUAAAAGCAGGAUUAACUUGGCUUCAGAUUCUUACUACAGUUGUCUGAAUGCUGAAUUAUUCCAGAGAUGACAUCUCUCCUUCAGACCGAAAACUAUCAAAUAACAAAAACCUCUUGGUAUCUGAGUAAUUUAACCAAUGCAUUUUGAAGGAGAAGCAGAAUACUGGCUCUACUAAUUAGACCAGGUGGUUCUUGGCUAAAGUAGAAUCUGUACAGUUUCAACGGCGGCCGUCUAAAUUAAAUAUAUGAAGUAUUCAAAAAUAAUUACAACAUUUUAUGUUUUUAUAAAACGAGCAGUCAAACGUCAAAUCCCUGUCUUCAGAAUGACCACACCCCCUUUUGGGUGGAAAAACGGUCUAAAAAUACCAGCUCUAAAUUGGACAAAAACAAUAAAACAAUUUUUAAAAGUU